GGGGCCAUAGCUCAGCCGGGAGAGCACCUGCUUUGCACGCAGGGGGUCAGCGGUUCGAUCCCGCUUGGCUCCACCA
rnacentral:tRNA from 1 species